rnacentral:rRNA from 1 species
CGCAUCUGUGCAUGCAGCAUAUCAAUAAGCGGAGGAAAAGAAACUAACAAGGAUUCCCUUAGUAACGGUGAGUGAAGCGGGAAGAGCUCAAGUUUGAAAUCUUCAAGGUUUUACCUUGACGAAUUGUAGUUUAAAGAAGUGUUUUCUGCUGAAGUUUUGGUAAAAGUUCUUUGGAAUAGGACAUCAUAGAGGGUGAGAAUCCCGUAUUUGACCAUUAUUUUCAGCUUUGUGAUACACUUUCAAAGAGUCGGAUUGUUUGGGAAUGCAGUCCAAAAUGGGUGGUAAAUUUCAUCUAAAGCUAAAUAUUGGCGAGAGACCGAUAGCGAACAAGUACCGUGAGGGAAAGAUGAAAAGAACUUUGAAAAGAGAGUUAAACAGUACGUGAAAUCGUCAAAAGGGAAGCGUUUGACACCAGUGUUGUUUUCUCGAAAAUCAAUUAAAAAUGGCUCGAUUUUGUAUUGCUUGAGACCUUAAAAGCUCACUGUACAUUUUUCGUGUCUUUUUUAAUGCACUUUUCGUUUAACAAGUCAACAUCAGUUUCUUUUGUUGUAAAAGGGUCAUUGGAAGGUGGCUUUCUUUUCGGAGAAAGUGUUUAUAGCCUUUGGCCUCUGCAAUCGGAAGAGACUGAGGUCUGCAGCGUAGACUCUUCGGGGUUAGAUACAUUUGUGCUAAGUUAUAGCUUUUUAUAGACAACUUGUUGACUAUAAUUAGUCUUGUAGCUUACUCGCUUAUGCUAUUUUACCUACGCUUAGGAUGUUGACGCAUGAGAUAUACGC